AUGGGGAGGCUGAUUUUUGACAGGUCAAGGAGGGGGAAAUACGUAGGAGUCUUCUACUUGAAUGAAUUUUUGGGAAGAAAACACAGUAUGUAUGAAGCUGAAAUCAUGAUGGAACCAAAAUGGAAUAUUUAUAUGCUUUUUUUCUUUUCUUUAAACCAGCAUAGAACACAUGGCUUCACCAAAACCAGUGUCUUGCAUUUCUUCAUCGCGGAACUGACUUCAGAGGAAAGCAGUUCAGAUCCUUGUCUCCAGUCUGGAGCUGUCCUCUGGCCAGGCUCCUUGCAGGAUGACAUCUCUCAGCAAGGUUAGCAGAAUGUGUGGGCUGUUCUGAAGCAGGUGCAAAUCAAUGUUGUGAAUGGCAGUGCUGAGCCAAGGGAGCUGCACCUGGUGUGUGAUUUUGGGGAGCAACGAGCAGCACUGCCAGGGCUAAACAGAGAAUGAGGAGCUUAACCAGACGCCGUACAUGUGCACAAGGGCACGUCCAGAGUUGCAUCAGCACACACAUUCAGUCUUGUUGAAUCUCGUGUGGGCCGGUUGGUGUUAUUCUCAGUUGUCCCCUACCUGUUCAUUUUGUAAUGCUGUUUGUUACAGCCACUUGCCUCUCGGCUUAAGCAGCAGUACUAGUAGUGUGGAUAAUGAGCGUCUCACCCCAAUUCAGAGAAGAGUCAUAACUCCCAACAAGGAGAUUGGACUCCUUCAUUAAUGUUAAAAUUGAAAAAUGACCACUGAUGUGUAAUAUGUUUGAUUAUCAUUUAGACACUAGAUCCUUUUGGUACUGCAUCCAGUUUAAGUGCUGCCUGAUGUCAGUGCAAUGUACACAGAAUACAUACUGACUCCAUCAGCUUGCUGCGUUCUUGUUCUAUCAUAUUAGAUGGAAUACAACUGCUGAUAAAUGAAAAAGAAUCCUUUCUUCACCCAUUUGUGAGAACACAUUACACUCUUCAGACAGACUUUUUUCAGAUUUCACACGUUUCACCCAGACAGUCAUCUCUUUCCAAUUAUUCUGACCUUUUUCAGUCACAGACAUGAAGUUUUCCAUUAGUUACUGUUAGCAUUGGCUUAAACAAGUACAACAUAAAACAUUUAAUUAUCAGUGGCUCGUGCAUAGCACUUUGCAUGUAAAGGUCCCCAAGUACUUUAUAAACAUUCAUUAAAGGUGACAGCAUGCAACGUGUUGUAGCUAGGGAGAGCUGUUCCCACUCUGCAGAGACAUCAUUUCUCUGUCACCAUUUACCCACAGGCUUGACAGUGAAUUCAUACAAUUACAUCUCCCCUGCAAGACAGAAGCACAUGCUCAAAAAUUGCUACUACUUCUGAUCCCACCUUUCCUUACAACUUGUUCCUGUGAUCCCCCUCUCAGUGAGGCCCAUCCAAGUGAUGUCUGUAUCCAUGUAUAUUGGCAAAUUUAUACAGAAGACUGGUUUAAGGAUUUGGCUAGGUGCAUGACUAAGUUUGGAUCACAGAUACUCCAUUUAAAAUCCAUACUGUUCACACAAAAUAUAAAAAGUAACUACAGAUUAAAAUGUUAAGCAGUGCACAUUGUACCUUUGUCUUUGUAUUUACUAUUCAUAGAAAACAAUUGCUGAAUUGCAACUUCUACAUGUUCUUCCAAUUCUUCAUUUAUUGACAACACAGUGAAACUCUUCAGAGUUGGGUAGGUCUGACAGGUUGGCUUCAAUUAAAAAUCAUCUUUCAUGUAUUAUCACUGAUUUUUGCAAUAAAACAAAUACGUAUUGAAAAUAACUGAAGGAU
ensembl:lncRNA